GGCCAGGGUGUCCUAGUGAGGAGUCACAGGACUGAUUGAGUUGAGCACGACUCGGAUGAUCUAAUCAGGGUUGAUAGUUUAACCUUGAGUCAUCCUAUACACAGGGGUCAAAAGGGAUGAAUUAUACAGUAACCAUACUCAUGUAGGUUCUGAGUAUUGCGAUUGCAACUAUUCGACCUAUCCAAACAUCGGAUACCAUUACUAGAUGGUCACUUCGAUUAGUACAGGAAUUGGUUCCUGUGCUACUGGCUUA
rnacentral:lncRNA from 1 species